rnacentral:rRNA from 1 species
AUGUUUGCUUCCAUCCCUGUCUACUAUAUGUCCAACAUACUUUUUUCUAAAAAAUUCCUAGCGAAGCUCACCGCUGUCAUCCGUAAUUUUUGGUGGGUAGGAGUCAGAGAGGAGGCUGGUUCAAAAGCUUUAUGCCUAAGGGCCUGGAAAGACAUUUGUACACCUAAAAAGGAGGGGGGACUGGGUAUCAAAAAUAUGCUUGCAAUGAAUCAGGGGUUGCUG